CCUGUUGAAAGAAGCUGUGUUGUGAGGGUCUCUCACAAGGCUGCAGACAAGGUGUUGGUCCAUGCUGCAGUCUCAUCUCAAGGUUCCACCAGGAAAAGAUGUACGUCCAAGCUCACAUGGUUGUUGGCAGAAUUCACUUCCUUACAAGCUGUUGGACUGAGGGCCUCAGUUCCUUGCCAUGUGGGCCUCUCCAUAGGUCAGCUCACAACAUUAACAGCUCGCUUCAUCAAAGGCAGAAACAGAGAGUCUGCUGGAAGAUUAGCCCUGAGCUAACUGCUGCCAAUCCUCCUCUUUUCGCUGAGGAAGACUGGCCCUGAGCUAACAUCCGU
rnacentral:lncRNA from 1 species